rnacentral:rRNA from 1 species
GACGAACGCUGUCGGCGUGCUUAACACAUGCAAGUCGAACGGAAAGGCCCUGCUUUUGUGGGGUGCUCGAGUGGCGAACGGGUGAGUAACACGUGAGUAACCUACCCUUGACUUUGGGAUAACUUCAGGAAACUGGGGCUAAUACCGGAUAGGAGCUCCUGCUGCAUGGUGGGGGUUGGAAAGUUUCGGCGGUUGGGGAUGGACUCGCGGCUUAUCAGCUUGUUGGUGGGGUAGUGGCUUACCAAGGCUUUGACGGGUAGCCGGCCUGAGAGGGUGACCGGCCACAUUGGGACUGAGAUACGGCCCAGACUCCUACGGGAGGCAGCAGUGGGGAAUAUUGCACAAUGGGCGGAAGCCUGAUGCAGCAACGCCGCGUGCGGGAUGACGGCCUUCGGGUUGUAAACCGCUUUCGCCUGUGACGAAGCGUGAGUGACGGUAAUGGGUAAAGAAGCACCGGCUAACUACGUGCCAGCAGCCGCGGUGAUACGUAGGGUGCGAGCGUUGUCCGGAUUUAUUGGGCGUAAAGGGCUCGUAGGUGGUUGAUCGCGUCGGAAGUGUAAUCUUGGGGCUUAACCCUGAGCGUGCUUUCGAUACGGGUUGACUUGAGGAAGGUAGGGGAGAAUGGAAUUCCUGGUGGAGCGGUGGAAUGCGCAGAUAUCAGGAGGAACACCAGUGGCGAAGGCGGUUCUCUGGGCCUUUCCUGACGCUGAGGAGCGAAAGCGUGGGGAGCGAACAGGCUUAGAUACCCUGGUAGUCCACGCUGUAAACGGUGGGUACUAGGUGUGGGGUCCAUUCCACGGGUUCCGUGCCGUAGCUAACGCUUUAAGUACCCCGCCUGGGGAGUACGGCCGCAAGGCUAAAACUCAAAGGAAUUGAUGGGGCCCCGCACAAGCGGCGGAGCAUGCGGAUUAAUUCGAUGCAACGCGUAGAACCUUACCUGGGUUUGACAUGGAUCGGGAGUGCUCAGAGAUGGGUGUGCCUCUUUUGGGGUCGGUUCACAGGUGGUGCAUGGCUGUCGUCAGCUCGUGUCGUGAGAUGUUGGGUUAAGUCCCGCAACGAGCGCAACCCUUGUUCACUGUUGCCAGCACGUUAUGGUGGGGACUCAGUGGAGACCGCCGGGGUCAACUCGGAGGAAGGUGGGGAUGACGUCAAGUCAUCAUGCCCCUUAUGUCCAGGGCUUCACGCAUGCUACAAUGGCUGGUACAGAGAGUGGCGAGCCUGUGAGGGUGAGCGAAUCUCGGAAAGCCGGUCUCAGUUCGGAUUGGGGUCUGCAACUCGACCUCAUGAAGUCGGAGUCGCUAGUAAUCGCAGAUCAGCAACGCUGCGGUGAAUACGUUCCCGGAGCU